rnacentral:rRNA from 1 species
GACGAACGCUGGCGGCGUGCCUAAUACAUGCAAGUUGAGCGAUGAAGAUUGUUGCUUGCACCAAUUUGAAGAGCAGCGAACGGGUGAGUAACGCGUGGGGAAUCUGCCUUUUAGCGGGGGACAACAUUUGGAAACGAAUGCUAAUACCGCAUAACACCUUUAAACAUAAGUUUUAAGUUUGAAAGCUUCAAUUUCUUCACUCAAAGAUGAUCCCGCGUUGUAUUAGCUAGUUGGUGAGGUAAAGGCUCACCAAGGCGAUGAUACAUAGCCGACCUGAGAGGGAGGAUGGCCAAAAUUGGACGGAGAAACGGGCCAAAAUGCCACGGGAGGGAGCAGGAGGGAAACUUUGGAAAUGGACGAAAGGCUGAACGAAGAAAGGCGCGGGAGGGAAGAAGGGUCUCGGAGCGUAAAACUCUGUUGGUAGAGAAGAAAGUGGGUGAGAGUGGAAAGCGCAUCAAGUGACGGUAACUACACAGAAAGGGACGGCUAACUACGUG